GUCUUAUAGAUCUUAUAGUUCCUUUAAAGGGAACUGUAAUUUGGAAUGCUUUUCUCAUCAAUAAACACAAAUUAGAAUUUGCUUCAGAUGAUGACAAGAUCUCAGAUUGAGGUCUGUAGAUAGCAUCUUGAGUGUCCAAAAUAGCUUUCUUUGAAUUCUGCAUCGUGUAGAUGCCAGUCUUAUAAUGGAUCUCUCAGUCACAUCAACGCCCGAGUCUAUGGUGAUGAUAAUGUUUGUGCAAAGUGGAUGCCAAGUGACUGCACAAUCAAGGUUUCUGAGUAGUUGAAAUAGAUAAGUCUUGAGUCAAUCAGUACAUCUGUACCACAUUCAUGUGGCAAAUGCUGCUUUAUGGAGAUGUUUCUAAUACUGACCUACAAUAAUUCAGCCAAGAUCACGUUUCUACUGUCUUCAGGAAAUGAGAAAAAUGAAUCCAGGAAAUUUCCAUCUUUAACUAUACUCUGUAAAUGUGCUGUCCAAUACACAGAUAGCUACUGAGCACUGGAAUAUAGCUAGUCUGAAUGGAGAUGUUCUGUUUGACUUUUUUGGACUCCACAUGUGUGAGAUCAUGCAAUAUUUGUCUUUCUGUGCCUGGCUUAUUUCACUUAGCGUAAUGUCCUCCAGGCUCAUCCAGGUUGUUGCAAAAGGCAGGAUUUUCUUCUUUUUUAAGGCUUGGAGAGUCAUUUGUUUUCAUAAGAGUCUGAAUCAGGAAGGCAGCCACCUGUGAAGAAAAGACAAAGGCAAAGUGGUGAAGAGCAAGGAGAAAUUGGAACCCACGAGAAUGAGCUGGAACUCCAAUGGAUGAGUUAGAACUCUGUCAGUCUUUCCAAACCUCCAGUUUCAAUGCUGAAGGGGUGACCUUCAAUCAAAGUUUGAGCCCUUUGUCAUGGAACUAAAUAUUCACCUGAACAGGGAGUUGAAGAAGCUUGUCAGAGAGUUGACGGGGUGUCCGAUAGGAGCAGAAAAACUAGGAGUGGGAUCUGCCCUAUGCUAUUAUUGGGGCUUGGAAAAUAAAACUGCAAAGAUUGGCACUUUGACAUGCUGAGAGGCCUUAGAAGCUGCCUCAGAAUCCAGGUCCCUCUAAUAUUGUCUUCUUCCCCCAACCCCGCUUCGUGCCCAAGCACAAGAAGGGAUUCUCUGGGAUUUUCUGGGAUUUUCUUAUUUCACCAUGAAAUCUUAUUUCCAAAAUGAACAAGAUUGCCUUCUUCCUCUCCCUGAAGUCCCCCUGUCUCUUUCAGAAAAGAAGACUGAGGAAUGCAACUAGAAUGGAUUUUUCACAAGAGAAUGCCUGCUUUUCUGGCUCAUUCGAAUUCCAAAGACAAUCAUUUACAAGUUAAUUUCUGUCCAUUUCUUCUCCUUAAGAAUCAUUUGCUGUCUCUGAGAAGCAUUGUCCACAUUCCCCAUUCUCCCCUCUCCCCUGUGAAAAAGGAUAUAAGCUUCUGUACCUCAUUGGGUUAUUGGGUAAUCAUUCUCCUGAGAAUCACCUGUGCUAUGCAUGUUAAAAUAAAAUUGUGCAAGCCUUCUCUG
rnacentral:lncRNA from 10 species